rnacentral:rRNA from 1 species
AUUGAACGCUGGCGGCAGGCUUAACACAUGCAAGUCGAGCGGGGGAAGGUAGCUUGCUACCGGACCUAGCGGCGGACGGGUGAGUAAUGCUUAGGAAUCUGCCUAUUAGUGGGGGACAACAUCUCGAAAGGGAUGCUAAUACCGCAUACGUCCUACGGGAGAAAGCAGGGGAUCUUCGGACCUUGCGCUAAUAGAUGAGCCUAAGUCGGAUUAGCUAGUUGGUGGGGUAAAGGCCUACCAAGGCGACGAUCUGUAGCGGGUCUGAGAGGAUGAUCCGCCACACUGGAACUGAGACACGGCCCAGACUCCUACGGGAGGCAGCAGUGGGGAAUAUUGGACAAUGGGGGGAACCCUGAUCCAGCCAUGCCGCGUGUGUGAAGAAGGCCUUAUGGUUGUAAAGCACUUUAAGCGAGGAGGAGGCUCUUUUGGUUAAUACCCAGAAUGAGUGGACGUUACUCGCAGAAUAAGCACCGGCUAACUCUGUGCCAGCCGCCGCUGUAA